AGUGUAAUUGCUGGGUCAUAUGGUAAAUCUGUUAACUUGCUAAGAAACCGCCUGUCUUCCCAAGUGACUGUCUCAUUUUUCAUUCCCACCAGCCAU
rnacentral:pre_miRNA from 1 species